UAGGGAAUCUUCGGCAAUGGGGGCAACCCUGACCGAGCAACGCCGCGUGAGUGAAGAAGGUUUUCGGAUCGUAAAGCUCUGUUGUAAGUCAAGAACGAGUGUGAGAGUGGAAAGUUCACACUGUGACGGUAGCUUACCAGAAAGGGACGGCUAACUACGUGCCAGCAGCCGCGGUAAUACGUAGGUCCCGAGCGUUGUCCGGAUUUAUUGGGCGUAAAGCGAGCGCAGGCGGUUUGAUAAGUCUGAAGUUAAAGGCUGUGGCUCAACCAUAGUUCGCUUUGGAAACUGUCAAACUUGAGUGCAGAAGGGGAGAGUGGAAUUCCAUGUGUAGCGGUGAAAUGCGUAGAUAUAUGGAGGAACACCGGUGGCGAAAGCGGCUCUCUGGUCUGUAACUGACGCUGAGGCUCGAAAGCGUGGGGAGCGAACAGGAUUAGAUACCCUGGUAGUCCACGCCGUANCGAUGAGUGCUAGGUGUUGGAUCCUUUCCGGGAUUCAGUGCCGUAGCUAACGCAUUAAGCACUCCGCCUGGGGAGUACGACCGCAAGGUUG
rnacentral:rRNA from 1 species